GGUGAACGCUGGCGGUAGGCCUAACACAUGCAAGUCGAACGGCAGCACAGUAAGAGCUUGCUCUUACGGGUGGCGAGUGGCGGACGGGUGAGGAAUACAUCGGAAUCUACUUUUUUGUGGGGGAUAACGUAGGGAAACUUACGCUAAUACCGCAUACGACCUACGGGUGAAAGCAGGGGAUCUUCGGACCUUGCGCGAUUGAAUGAGCCGAUGUCGGAUUAGCUAGUUGGCGGGGUAAAGGCCCACCAAGGCGACGAUCCGUAGCUGGUCUGAGAGGAUGAUCAGCCACACUGGAACUGAGACACGGUCCAGACUCCUACGGGAGGCAGCAGUGGGGAAUAUUGGACAAUGGGCGCAAGCCUGAUCCAGCCAUACCGCGUGGGUGAAGAAGGCCUUCGGGUUGUAAAGCCCUUUUGUUGGGAAAGAAAAGCAGCAGGUUAAUACCCCGCUGUUCUGACGGUACCCAAAGAAUAAGCACCGGCUAACUUCGUG
rnacentral:rRNA from 1 species